ACCGGUUUCGGCCGGGGAUUAGUGGCGAACGGGUGAGUAACACGUGGGCAAUCUGCCCUGCACUCUGGGACAAGCCCUGGAAACGGGGUCUAAUACCGGAUAUGACCUUCGACCGCAUGGUUGAUGGUGGAAAGCUCCGGCGGUGCAGGAUGAGCCCGCGGCCUAUCAGCUUGUUGGUGGGGUGAUGGCCUACCAAGGCGACGACGGGUAGCCGGCCUGAGAGGGCGACCGGCCACACUGGGACUGAGACACGGCCCAGACUCCUACGGGAGGCAGCAGUGGGGAAUAUUGCACAAUGGGCGAAAGCCUGAUGCAGCGACGCCGCGUGAGGGAUGACGGCCUUCGGGUUGUAAACCUCUUUCAGCAGGGAAGAAGCGAAAGUGACGGUACCUGCAGAAGAAGCGCCGGCUAACUACGUGCCAGCAGCCGCGGUAAUACGUAGGGCGCAAGCGUUGUCCGGAAUUAUUGGGCGUAAAGAGCUCGUAGGCGGCUUGUCGCGUCGGAUGUGAAAGCCCGGGGCUUAACCCCGGGUCUGCAUUCGAUACGGGCAGGCUAGAGUUCGGUAGGGGAGAUCGGAAUUCCUGGUGUAGCGGUGAAAUGCGCAGAUAUCAGGAGGAACACCGGUGGCGAAGGCGGAUCUCUGGGCCGAUACUGACGCUGAGGAGCGAAAGCGUGGGGAGCGAACAGGAUUAGAUACCCUGGUAGUCCACGCCGUAAACGUUGGGCACUAGGUGUGGGCGACAUUCCACGUCGUCCGUGCCGCAGCUAACGCAUUAAGUGCCCCGCCUG
rnacentral:rRNA from 2 species